ensembl:lncRNA
CUUCCCUUCGCCAUGUCUCCUCCAGUCUCUCCUCUAAACUCUAUAAACUACAAUUAAAGCCCCGAAAUCCAAGCUUCCUUCCAGCCGGUUACCUGCAGGACAACUUCCGGGUUCAUGUCCGCUGUCUCCGCCCACAAGAGAGACGCCAUAAUGACUCUUGCAGCCCCAGCGCCGUUUGCCAGUGAGGUCCUUUUCCUCCACACUGACAGGGCAGGGAGCUGUGGUUGCUGCUGAAGGGCCGAGGGGACCAUGUGGCGAGGCGUCCAUCUGGGGUAACCUGAGUAAACGCAGGGUUCAAGUCUCCUCCAGUAGCAUGCUCCUCUUGCCAAGCUGCUGUCUGCAACCCACCGUGUCCACUAUCACCACCUUCAUCUCCAAAUGCGUUACUUCAUGGGUGAUCUGAACUACUGGGAGCAGGCUUGAUUGAACACAGUCUGACUGCUGCAGGAAGGAAGGACCUCCUUCAAACAUCGUGGGUGAAGCAGUCUGUCCCUGAAGGAGCUGCCGG